CAUCAGACAUGAGUUGCUUUCAUUGCUUUCAUAAUAAAACUUGAUAUCUAAAAUCUUAAAAUGGUUACAAGUGUACCGAACUUUCAAAAAUCUAAAGCAUUCUUGAAAUUUUUCUUUCUGUUUGAAACUUCUAUUAUAAAAUUUGAUUUAUUACAAUAAACUUCAAUGUCAUGUAAUAUAAGUAUUAUUAACUUCUAUAAUACAUAAGCUAGUAAAAGUUUAUUUCAUUUGUAUCUCUUAAUAAUUGUCAAUUUAUGAUACAAAAGAACUAAUUAUUCUGUCUCAUGUUAUGUGAGGAGGUGAAGUUUGCUGUGGAAGGGCAUGCCAGGCACAUAUAAUGGAACAAUACAUACAAGCUUAAGCAUUAAAAUUUUUUGGUGGCUGAACAAAUUUCUAAAAAAAUAAAUACUUGAAGUGGUCCAUAAACAACAUACCCAGUAAAUUUCGGAUCUUAAAUUCAUCAAAACACUUGGAAAACAUGAACACAGAAAUGUUUAUAAAAGUAUUAAAUAUUAUAUAUCAGCAAAAUACAGUCACAAUGCAACCUGUUUCUUUAUAUCAUAUUAAUAAAAACUGAAAGUAAUAAUCCA